rnacentral:misc_RNA from 1 species
AAGUCGUAACAAGGUUUCCGUAGGUGAACCUGCGGAAGGAUCAUUACUGUUGGCUUUAAUCUUUUACUUGUGGUAUGGGCUUCGGCCUUGCCCAAGUGAAGACCUUCACCUGUGCACUGUCUUACGUUAGCUCCCUUUUGGCAGCACUGGCUAUGGGCUUUUUUCUUUGGGUUUUUGCUAGUGUGUCGCUGGAAGGGUAGCACUUAUCCUACCUUUUGUAUCUUUGAUUUUUUGGCUGAAGUUUGGACUUUACUGCUCUUAGUAGCGUAAAACCAUAAUACAACUUUCAACGAUGGAUCUCUAGGCUCCCA